CUCUCGGCUUGGGCAUGUUGGACCAUUGGGCUUUUUCAACCCUGGGAUCCUGUGUUCUGGCAUGCUCCAGGUAUAAUCAUCCGCUCUGGACUCUUUCACCCUGUCUUGUGUCUAGGGGCCAAAGGGGAACAACACUGGAUGAAUUUUUGUAACUCCCAUUGAAUUGAUGCAAAAUAAUUGCAGGAGGAAAGCAUGCUGCUUCAUCAUUUGUUAUCAUUUAGGGGUGAAAGAGUCUACAGCACGUAGGAAUGGCUUGGCACUUCCAUAAGGGAUAAUGACGCUGCAUCUUCUGCUUCUGCCUUGACUGCUCCUUCACCUUCAUCUUCAUGGUGAUCCUGAUUCUUACUAAUUUGGGUUGGUACCCAGGACGGGCAGUUGCCUCAAGCAGGAGAACCUCUUGCAGCUGUAGAAGCUGGUCUCAGUUGGAGAGGGGACUCCGUGGGUCUGCAUCUGACAGACAGGGGACGCUCUACCUUUAACCAAGGUCAGAUACUCCUGGCCUCAAAAGAUACUCAAAAUUUUCAAGAUAGUACAUUCAUGUCCAAAGAAAUGGUGUCACAUGCAGUGCCACGGUGGUGGUGGUGGGGUAUGUGUGUGUGUGUGUAUUAUUAAAAAAAAAAAAAAAAAAACAUUUUCC
rnacentral:lncRNA from 1 species